rnacentral:rRNA from 1 species
CCUACGGGUGGCAGCAGUAGGGAAUAUUGCUCAAUGGGCGAAACCCUGAAGCAGCAACGCCGCGUGGAGGAUGAAGGUUUUCGGAUUGUAAACUCCUUUUUUUAGAGAAGAUAAUUACGGUAUCUAACGAAUAAUCACCGGCUAACUCCGUGCCAGCAGCCGCGGUAAUACGGAGGGUGCAAGCGUUACUCGGAGUCACUGGGCGUAAAGGGAGCGUAGACGGGUUAGCAAGUCAGAUGUGAAAGCCUAUGGCUUAACCAUAGAAUUGCAUUUGAAACUGUUAUUCUAGAGUAUGGGAGAGGUAGGCGGAAUUCGUGGUGUAGCGGUAAAAUCCGUAGAGAUCAAGAAGAAUACUCAUUGCGAAGGCAGCCUGCUAGACCGUAACUGACGCUGAUGCGCGAAAGCGUGGGUAUCAAACAGGAUUAGAUACCCGAGUAGUC